rnacentral:rRNA from 1 species
CGCCUGUUUAUCAAAAACAUGGCCUUUUGUUUAUUAUUUAAGGUCUAGCCUGCCCACUGAGUAGUUAAAUGGCCGCGGUACACUGACCGUGCAAAGGUAGCAUAAUCAUUAGUUUCUUAAUUGGAAGCUGGUAUGAAUGGUUGGAUGAGAAAAUAACUGUCUCUACUUAAAUUUUGGAAUUUUAUUUUUAAGUAAAAAAGCUUAAAUUUUAUUAAAAGACGAUAAGACCCUAUAGAGUUUUAUAAAUUUUGAUGUUAUAGGUUUUAGUAUUUUCGUCUUGAUAUAUUAAAAUUUAUUUAGUUGGGGAGAUUGAAAAAUUAGAAGAACUUUUUUUUUAUUGAAACACUUAUUUGUGGUUAUUUGAUCCAUUUUUUGAUUAUAAGAUAAAGUUACCUUAGGGAUAACAGCGUAA